rnacentral:rRNA from 1 species
UACGUAGGGUGCAGGCGUUAAUCGGAAUUACUGGGCGUAAAGCGUGCGCAGGCGGUUUCUUAAGUCAGAUGUGAAAGCCCCGGGCUUAACCUGGGAACUGCGUUUGAAACUGGGAGACUUGAGUGUGGCAGAGGGGGGUGGAAUUCCACGUGUAGCAGUGAAAUGCGCAGAUAUCAGGAGGAACACCGGUGGCGAAGGCGGGUCUCUGGGCCGAAAUUGACGCUGAGGAGCGAAAGCGUGGGGAGCAAACAGG